rnacentral:rRNA from 1 species
AUUGAACGCUGGCGGCAUGCCUUACACAUGCAAGUCGAACGGCAGCACGGGGCAACCUGGUGGCGAGUGGCGAACGGGUGAGUAAUGCAUCGGAACGUACCUUUCAGUGGGGGAUAACGUAGCAAAAGUUACGCUAAUACCGCAUAUUCUGUGAGCAGGAAAGCAGGGGAUCGCAAGACCUUGCGCUGAUUGAGCGGCCGAUGUCAGAUUAGCUAGUUGGUGAGGUAAAGGCUCACCAAGGCGACGAUCUGUAGCGGGUCUGAGAGGAUGAUCCGCCACACUGGAACUGAGACACGGUCGAGACUCCUACGGGAGGCAGCAGUGGGGAAUUUUGGACAAUGGGGGCAACCCUGAUCCAGCCAUGCCGCGUGAGUGAAGAAGGCCUUCGGGUUGUAAAGCUCUUUCGGCCGGGAAGAAAUCGCACGGGCUAAUACCCUGUGUGGAUGACGGUACCGGAAUAAGAAGCACCGGCUAACUACGUGCCAGCCGCCGCCGUAAAAC